UGUUAGGAGUAGGCACAAGCGCCACGGCGUAUUUUAAAAGAAUGUGGGGAUCUGAACAGGCUGGUAGGAGUAGUUGCACGGCACUGGUAAUUACACUAUAUUGGCAACCACUUGAGCCAGGUCAUAUGACCUACCAGGAAGUUAUAAAAGGCUGCCAAGAUGGAAUCUCAUUCUCUUGCUGCUGUGUUUUACAACUGGACAUGGGGUGGGUUCUUCUUCCCUGUGGGUAAGGAAAGGAGGAGAGGGUUUGUUUGAGAACUUGAAUGUUUAAUUUUAAUUUUAAUUUUACCAGGGUGACUGCUAGCAGCAUGUAACUCUUCAUGGAGGAUGCGAGGUUUGGAAUUUUAUCAUUUGACGUGAUCCCCUACGAGCUGCUGGGCUACAGACACUGAGGCUCUGGGGCCUCCUGAGCUGAGAGCUGCGCGUGCCGAUCUGACCUUACUAUCUGGAGGAUAGUCAGCUGCCCCCAACCCUGCCAGCAGCCUGUUUUAUUUGACUAAUUGAUUUUACAUAUUUGUAAUAAAGUGGAUUGGGUUUUAUUUUCA